UUAAAUUGAAGAGUUUUAUCAUGGCUCAGAUUGAACGCUGGCGGCAGGCCUAACACAUGCAAGUCGAACGGUAACAG
rnacentral:rRNA from 1 species